GAUGAACGCUAGCUACAGGCUUAACACAUGCAAGUCGCGGGGCAGCAUGGGGCUUGCUUGCAAUCCCCGAUGGCGACCGGCGCACGGGUGAGUAACGCGUAUCCAACCUGCCCUUCACCACGGGAUAACCCGGCGAAAGUCGGACUAAUACCGUAUGUUGUCCAUUGACGGCAUCCGAUUUGGACGAAAGGCUUGGCGGUGAGGGAUGGGGAUGCGUCCGAUUAGCCAGACGGCGGGGUAACGGCCCACCGUGGCUACGAUCGGUAGGGGUUCUGAGAGGAAGGUGCCCCACACUGGAACUGAGACACGGGCCAGACUCCUACGGGAGGCAGCAGUGAGGAAUAUUGGUCAAUGGGCGUAAGCCUGAACCAGCCAAGUAGCGUGCAGGAGGACGGCCCUAUGGGUUGUAAACUGCUUGUAUGCGGGGAUAAAGUGGCCCACGUGUGGGCUUUUGCAGGUACCGCAUGAAUAAGGACCGGCUAAUUCCGUG
rnacentral:rRNA from 1 species